GUUUCUGUAGUGUAGUGGUCAUCACGUUUGCUUUACAUGCGAAAGGUUCCCGGUUCGAAACCAGGUGGAAACA